UGGGGAAUAUUGGACAAUGGGCGAAAGCCUGAUCCAGCCAUGCCGCGUGUGUGAAGAAGGUCUUCGGAUUGUAAAGCACUUUAAGUUGGGAGGAAGGGCAGUAAGCGAAUACCUUGCUGUUUUGACGUUACCGACAGCAUAAGCACCGGCUAACUCUGUGCCAGCAGCCGCGGUAAUACAGAGGGUGCAAGCGUUAAUCGGAAUUACUGGGCGUAAAGCGCGCGUAGGUGGUUCGUUAAGUUGAAUGUGUAAGCCCCGGGCUCAACCUGGGAACUGCGUCCAAAACUGGCGAGCUAGAGUAGGGCAGAGGGUGGUGGAAUUUCCUGUGUAGCGGUGAAAUGCGUAGAUAUAGGAAGGAACACCAGUGGCGAAGGCGACCACCUGGGCUCAUACUGACACUGAGGUGCGAAAGCGUGGGGAGCAAACAGG
rnacentral:rRNA from 1 species